CUCAUAAUGCUUAAGUGGGGCUUUUAUUUUUUUUCCUCUCGUGGGACGUGUAUUUUAAGACGGAAAUGAUUUACGUCUUCUCAUAGUAAUUAUACGCGACUUUUAUUUUUCUCGUCUCUCGUGACGUUUAUUUUAAGACGACAAUGAUUUACGUUCAACGUUUUCUCUUAAUAGAAUCGCGCGUUUAGAAAUACA